rnacentral:lncRNA from 1 species
CCCGCCGCGCACACAGCGGGUUCUCCCACAAAAAAGCAUUACGUGAUUUUUGUUCACAGUUUAUCUAUUUAAUUUCUUCAACUCNCUGGGCCCCCCUCAGACCAUCCCCCCAACCCCCACAGUCUUGGCCCCCGCAGGUGCACACACGAGGCGGCCGGACCUCCAGGCCCCGCCGCGCACACAGCGGGUUCUCCCACAAAAAAGCAUUACGUGAUUUUUGUUCACAGUUUAUCUAUUUAAUUAGUCUUCAACUCUUUGUGAUAUUUCACAUUAUCUUUAAUUCUGCAGGUAUUUGCUUCCAUCUCUUGUUUAAACGUCUUAAAAGUCCAUUCUUAUUCUCCUGGGCCCCCCCUAGGGGCCCCCCCGGACUCCUGUCCCCCCUCAGGUGCAUGGCACAAACCUGAUGACCAAAACCGUGAUGUGAUGGCAAGUGUGUAUUUGUAGAUCCUACGGGCUUGUUCCCACCCCAGCACAGGCCAAGCCAGAUAAGUAUCUUAGCCAUGUUUGCUUAUUGGCUUAUUUUCUUUUAGAGUUUCUCCCAGGAUAGGUCACUUUUUCCUGGUCUGGAAAGGGGAGUUACAGAGAAGUCUAAUUCAACCCACCCAUCCACACACACCCCCCCCCAACACUCCGAUCACAUGGGCCAAAGUUCGUCACGGAUAUUUUCUAGUAAAAUUUGAUUUCUGAUGUUGGUAGAGAUACUAGCUUUUAGCCGACUAUUCUGGCUUUCACUUUUCUUUUUGAUUUCUCCUUAGGUGUUUUUCUUACUUGGGGUGGGGUUGGACUUAACUAUACAUUUAAAAUAACGUUUAUUAUAUUUCUUUCCAGGAUUUCUGGCUGUAUUAUAGUGAGAUAUUAUUCAGGCUAUUUAUCUUGCCAUAGUGUUAUUUGAAAUGUUUCCUGGCUUUCCUUCGGAGCUGUUUGCUUCCAUGCUGCUAGAUUCCUCCAAACCAGGUGAUGCAGCUCCUCGAAAUCUACAAAUUCAGCAUGAGGCUCUUACAAAUAGUAAAGGAUGUUGGCUUAUGGCAGAGGCUCCUCCUGAGACUACAGAAGAGAAUAUCACAUUUCUUGAUGCUGAUGAAAGUGGGAAAAGUAGAGAACCUUCAGAAGCCUGA